CGCCGGGCAGGGCAGUGCUCGGCUGGCGGGUGCCCCGCAGAGAGAAGAGCCCGGCCCUGGGAAGGCAGGAGCCUGGGCUCGAGCUGCUCCGGACCGCUGUGGGGAUGGGUUUGAAGUUUUGGGAUCGCUUGUUUCUGUCCCUACCUUCCCACUGAAAACAAUAACUUGAGAAGUCCUCGUCUGGACUGGUCCAGAGAAAUGGUGGAGUCUCCAUCUCCGGAGAUGCUUAAAACACUUUUGCUCAGGCAAAGUCAUGAGCAACCUAUUCUACCUAAUCCCGCUUUUUGAGCAGCAGAGAUUGGACUAGAUGAUCUCCAGAGGUCGUAUUUAUCUGCCUGUCAGGACUGUUGGAGCGCUGGAUGGAGAGCAGGUCAUAUGAAGAGGAUUAUGGAGUAAAAGGCAGCUUGUACUUAGGUGCAGGGAAAGUAUAAAUAUUUAUAUAUAUUGGCACAGUGCCUAGCCUUAAUGCUUAAAAUCCUUUGGAGAGCUGUCUGCAUAUUUACUGUAUUAAUGAUCAAAUGCAAGGCUGUGUUGGGAAAGAUCUUCCAUUUGGAAGUCAGUAGUUGAGACUGUCUUGCCUAUGAAAAAGAGGGAGAAUUUUCAUUGGAGGGUGUAGGAUUCUGGCUGGUAAUAGUCUUAAUUCAAGGUAUUUUUAGAGAAUUGAUUUAACACAAGCAGAACAAAUGGCCAGAAGUGCAAUGAGAGACAAGUUGAAAUUAGAAAGUAGAUGUGCAUUUUGAAUGUAUUGUCAUAGCAACUGAUUAAAUUCUCCCUCUCUUGCUGUUCUGGGGACCUUUUAAAUGUGCUUUGGCUAAAUAAAAAGUAUUAGACUAUUUCAGAGCCAAAAGGUCAGUUCUUGUUGUCUCUUUUGCACUUUAAUUCUAGUACACUGAUACUUGCUAACCACUUAUAACCCUAGAUGCAGAAUGAGAACUUGGGUUAUUAACAAUAAACAAGUCAACAGCAGAAAGACUUGACCUUUCUUUUGAAUUGCCCUACAGUGUUAAAAAAUACCAAACAAACCUCCUUCCCCAAAGAAACACCCCCCAAAAUACCCCAACAACUCACCAAACAGAAAAUCACUGACAACCAAAAAGCAGAAGUAACAAACGUGAACAGCAAGUGGAGGAAGAGUUUGAAAGCGGGAUGGACAGAAGCACAAGUGUUACUGCCCACUCUUAGGCCACUGUGCUGAUUCAAUGGGUGUUGUUAGGUUUAGAUUAGUAGUUUGUUGUUGUUGGGUUUUUCGGUGGUGUUGAUUUUUUUGUUGUCGUUGUGGGGGAUUGUUCAUUUGUUUGUUUUUAUUUGGGUUUUUUUCUGUAUUAAAAAUCUGGCUCAGUUACUCUCUAGUUUUGGUGUGUUUUCUUUUCCAGGUGGUUGGUGUUCCUGCAGUGUUUGGCACAGGACCGGACUGAAUGCACUCCCUUUAUUCACCUUUUCAGAGAGUAUCGUCCAGAAUACGAGCGCCUGAGAAAAACACCGGACCUGAUGCUUCUGC